CUUUGGAAGACAAAAAUUCAAAAAAGUGACAAAAAAAUCAAAACAUUAUAAUAGAUCCAGUAGAUAGUUAAAUUUCUUUUGCAUAUUGUCUCUUUGUAAUUAUAUAUUUUACUUCUAUUAACUAACAUAUUAACUUGAUUCAUCCAGGAAUAGUAAAAUUUAAAGAACCUUAUGAUCAAGAAGCAUGAAUAAGUGCAUCAGGCCACAUGAAAUGAAGAACCAGGAACUCUACUUCCUCUCCACCCACACAACUUCCUCUGUGGGUUCUUCAAUUUCAGCCUCAAAUUCAUCAUGUAGCAGGUAAACAUACAACAUCUCCAUUAACAGGAAAGUAAAUGACCAAAAUGAUCAAAUAACAUCUCUAAUAAGAAAUUUCGCAACCACGUUCAAAUUGAAACGAAUUAAAGAAGCAUUUGACACAAUUAAAAAAAAAGAAAAAAAAGGAAAGAAGCAAGUAGAGAAAAGAGAGUCUGGGUCAUCAUAUCAUAAUUUAAUCAAUAUGGUGAAUUUGUUAGCGUCAAUCCAUUUGGACAUCAAAACCGGCAAAUAAAAUUCCAGUAAACCAACUUUUAAAGAAUACAGAUGAAGUAUGAAAAUUGGUAUGUUUUCAAAGUAGAAACUUAGUCUCACAUUUGAGAACCGAACAGGGCCAGCGUAUGGAAGGCAUUCACACUUAUACAAAACUUAAAACCUAAUAAUUUAGUAGCUUCUAUUUCAAUAUAUAGUAACUUGGGAUCAAUUUGAGGAGAAUAUCUACCAAGUCUACCAAGAAGUUUUCACCCAGGCUAUGGGAAUUGUCUGCCUCAUUUCAAUUUCGUAGUCUUCAUCUUUGUUGGUUGAAGUGGCUCCUUAACGUGGUGGGUGAAGUUUUCUCUCUACAAGAACGUUGGCGUCGAGGUCGGAGUCGAGAAUGGGGUUUAUCAUGGGUUUUCAGAUUCAGGGGUUUCCGAUUUGGGGUUUCUACUUUGGGGCUUUCUUGAGUUUUGAACGUAAUUAUUACGGUAGUG
rnacentral:lncRNA from 1 species